UACGGAGGGUGCAAGCGUUAUCCGGAUUUACUGGGUUUAAAGGGUGCGCAGGCGGAUAUGUAAGUCAGUGGUGAAAUCUCUAGGCUUAACCUGGAAAUUGCCGUUGAUACUAUAUAUCUUGAAUGUUGUGGAGGUAAGCAGAAUAUGUCAUGUAGCGGUGAAAUGCUUAGAUAUGACAUAGAAUACCUAUUGCGAAGGCAGCUUACUACGCAGAUAUUGACGCUCAUGCACGAAAGCGUGGGGAGCAAACAGG
rnacentral:rRNA from 1 species